CUGCAUCCACUGAUAGACCUUGAACAAUCUGUUGUUUGGGUUUGCAGCAGGAGGCAAGAAAUCCCUGCGCUUUCUGUCUGCCUGUGUGGCGGCCUGGAUUGAAUAGGGGACUACAUCU